rnacentral:rRNA from 1 species
AUUGAACGCUGGCGGCAGGCCUAACACAUGCAAGUCGAACGAGUGGCGGACGGGUGAGUAAUGUCUGGGAAACUGCCCGAUGGAGGGGGAUAACUACUGGAAAAGGUAGCUAAUACCGCAUACCAUCGGAUGUGCCCAGAUGGGAUUAGCUUGUAGGUGAGGUAACGGCUAACCUAGGCGACGAUCCCUAGCUGGUCUGAGAGGAUGACCAGCCACACUGGAACUUAGACACGGUCCAGACUCCUACGGGAGUCAGCAGUGGGGAAUAUUGCACAAUUGGCGCAAGCCUGAUGCGGCCAUGCCGCUUGUAUGAAGAAGGCCUUCGGGUUGUAAAGUACUUUCAGCGGGGAGGCGUUACCCGCAGAAGAAGAACCGGCUAACUCCGUGCCAGCAGCCGCGGUAAUUC